rnacentral:rRNA from 1 species
UGUUUCGGCUAGGGGGCCAUCCCGGCUUACCAACCCGAUGCAAACUGCGAAUACCGGAGAAUGUUAUCACGGGAGACACACGGCGGGUGCUAACGUCCGUCGUGAAGAGGGAAACAACCCAGACCGCCAGCUAAGGUCCCAAAGUCAUGGUUAAGUGGGAAACGAUGUGGGAAGGCCCAGACAGCCAGGAUGUUGGCUUAGAAGCAGCCAUCAUUUAAAGAAAGCGUAAUAGCUCACUGGUCGAGUCGGCCUGCGCGGAAGAUGUAACGGGGCUAAACCAUGCACCGAAGCUGCGGCAGCGACACUGUGUGUUGUUGGGUAGGGGAGCGUUCUGUAAGCCUGCGAAGGUGUCCCGUGAGGGAUGCUGGA